AACUGAAGAGUUUGAUCAUGGCUCAGAUUGAACGCUGGCGGCAGGCUUAACACAUGCAAGUCGAGCGGGGGAAGGUAGCUUGCUACUGGACCUAGCGGCGGACGGGUGAGUAAUGCUUAGGAAUCUGCCUAUUAGUGGGGGACAACAUCUCGAAAGGGAUGCUAAUACCGCAUACGUCCUACGGGAGA
rnacentral:rRNA from 1 species